CUUCAAAUCUUGUGACACAAAACCUAGUUUGUGACUCGUCAAGGAGGAAAAAACAAGCUGGGCAAAAAAUCACCCAGUUAUGGAGGAGGAGUCUUGGUUGUUUCAAUACUCAAAUAAUGCAGAUUUAUCAGCGUUUGUAUCCGAGGAGGCGUUUUCCAGCAGCUGUGAGUGGGAUGAGCUCCUUCUCAAGUUCAAUAUCUCCCAAGAAACGGCUUGGAUGGACUUAUUGGGUGAUGAAGAAGAAGAAAGGGGUAAAGCAUCGUCAGAGUGUAGCGACAACUCCAUCGAUGGCGUAAAGGAGGAAGAGGUUUGCUCAGAAGAACCCAAGGAAACGAAGAGUUACAGAGGGGUGAGGAAAAGGCCAUGGGGCAAAUUUGCUGCUGAGAUUAGGGAUUCAACCAGACAUGGUGCCAGGGUUUGGCUUGGUACAUUCGACAGCGCUGAAGCAGCUGCUUUAGCUUACGACCAAGCCGCAUUUUUAAUGAGAGGACCAUCGGCUACUCUCAAUUUCCCCACUGAAGCUGUCAAGGCAUCGCUUAAGGAACUCAAGUGUCGAUGCGAUGAAGACAAGGGUUGGUCCCCUGUGGUGAAUCUCAAGAACCGGUAUUCAUCGAGGAAAAGAUCCAAGAACAAGAAAAUCAAGCCAAAGGACGCGGCAUUAAGGCAACAGCAAAACUUGCUGGUCUUUGAAGAUUUGGGAGCUGAUUACUUGGAACAACUGUUAAUAAGUUCAUGUGAGUGAAAGUAGAGCUCCUUGGUUGCUUUGGGUACUUUAAUCCCAUUUCAUAUCUUCUUUUCUCUUGUCAAUUUCAUUGCUUUGGUGGGGGCGUUGAUUUAAGCACACUCUUCAAUCUUCUUCCUUACUUCAUCAUCUCAUCUCAUAUUAGGUCUCUUGUAAAGUUGAAACAACUCACACAUCAUAGAAAUGUACAAUAAUUUCACCUUUUAUGUUCACAUCCCUCUUUUCUUUUUUUGGUAA